rnacentral:rRNA from 1 species
AUUGAACGCUGGCGGCAUGCCUAACACAUGCAAGUCGAACGAGUGGCGGACGGGUGAGUAAUGUCUGGGAAACUGCCUGACGGAGGGGGAUAACUACUGGAAACGGUAGCUAAUACCGCAUACCAUCGGAUGUGCCCAGGUGGGAUUAGCUAGGCGUGGGGGUAAAGGCUCACCUAGGCGACGAUCCCUAGCUGGCCUGAGAGGAUGACCAGCCACACGGGAACUGAGACACGGUCCAGACUCCUACGGGAGGCAGCAGUGGGGAAUAUUGCGCAAUGGGCGAAAGCCUGAUGCAGCCAUGCCGCGUGAAUGAAGAAGGCUUUCGGGUUGUAAAGCACUGUCAGCGGGGAGGCGUUACCCGCAGAAGAAGCACCGGCUAACUCCGUGCCAGCAGCCGCGGUAAUUC